GACGAACGCUGGCGGCGUGCUUAACACAUGCAAGUCGAACGGAAAGGCCUGCUUUCCCUUGUGGAUUGCGGGUACUCGAGUGGCGAACGGGUGAGUAACACGUGAGUGAUCUGCCCCCAACUUGGGUAUAAGCCUGGGAAACUGGGUCUAAUUCCCGAUAGGACUGCAGGGUGGUGCCUGUGGUGGAAAACGAUUUUCUAGUGGUUGGGGAUGAGCUCGCGGCCUAUCAGCUUGUUGGUGGGGGAAUGGCCUACCAAGGCGGCGACGGGUAGCCGGCCUGAGAGGGUGGACGGCCACAUUGGGACUGAGAUACGGCCCAGACUCCUACGGGAGGCAGCAGUGGGGAAUAUUGCACAAUGGGCGGAAGCCUGAUGCAGCGACGCCGCGUGGGGGAUGACGGCCUUCGGGUUGUAAACUCCUUUCGACCGCGAGGAAGCCACCUGGUUGGAAGGGUGGUGACGGUAGUGGUAGAAGAAGCACCGGCUAACUACGUG
rnacentral:rRNA from 1 species